rnacentral:tRNA from 1 species
GUCCGUUGGUCAAGGGGUUAAGACACCGCCUUUUCACGGCGGUAACACGGGUUCGAAUCCCGUACGGAC